GGAUCGCCUACCUUAUGUGAAUCUCCGCCAAAUGUGUUGGUGCGUGUAUUUCCUUUAUCACUGAAUUACAUUAUGAUGUGAUGGUCAAUGAUUAUUUUGUAAGAGUAGUGGACAGAAGAGAUUUCUGAGAAAUUUUAACAAUGAGGCUUUUGUAUUUAAUUCUUAAGAUUAGUUGAUUUCCUUAACCGCACUAACGGUGAUGCCUUCACAGGUUUUCGGGUAACCCAGUUUCCUGAAGGAGGUGAGUCUAAAUCCAGUUUAAGCAGCUGGAGGCAGAUUUUCCCCAAGGUGUUUCCUGUAGUUUUUAAAAGUUUCAUUUCCACAAGUUAAACCCUGAAAAAUAUUUAACUUUAGGAAUAUAUAGCUGAUUUCAGUACAGUCUGGAUGCAUGAAGUGAGCACUAUCUGUUGGUACAUUUUUAAGGCUGUAAUUAAAUCUUUAGUAGUCAACUGGUGUACAAAUACUGAUUCAAGCCAUUUAUAGGAAGGUAUCUUGAGAUCAUUAAUGAUCAUAACCUUAUAAGUAAUUGUGCAUUAUUUAAAAAGGUGUCAUUUAUUACAAACACUAUGUUAUGCAUUUCCCAUUUUACUAAAGCAAAUAAAUGAGUGGUCUUAUCAGAUUUUGCUGUGUAAAAAAAGAAAAUAAAAAAUGCUUAAUGCAAAUUGAAAACAUGCAGAUGCAUUGUAUGAUCUGAUUUAAGUAAGGGAAACUGAUUGUGAUUUGAGUAGAAGUGAAGUGAUUAACUUAAGCUAUUGAAAUGUAUUAAUGGUUUAUCAUUACCUGGAGCAUAGAGAAUUAAACAUGCCUGACAGCACACCAGCAUGAACAAUUCUACCAAAAUUGUAUUAAGAGUAAAUGUCUUGCAUUUAUUCUAAAAUAUUUUUCGUCUCAAUAUACUCUAUCCAGACCUCAGAAGGUUUUUAGUUUCACCUGGUUUAAUUUUGCAAAAAUCUUUAAAAAGCUAUUGCUGUCCCCUUACUAAUUGCAAAAAUCGAGAUUAAUGGUUUAGUUGCAGCCCUAAAUUGAAGGUAUUGCCUGAGCCUUUGCCUCACCAGCUCCUGUUCUGUGUACAUGGAGUUGGUGAAAUUGUGCCAGAAACGCUGGUGUCAUUACAUCAAAUGAAGCACACAUGGGAAACAAUCUUGCCUCCUAAUGCUGUUAACUUUGUGCCACAAUGAUGACAAUUAUUUGCUACUCUCGACUAGAUGGAUGACGAUAUAGCAACCACCAAUAAUCACAUUCUGAGGCACAUGGGAGGGCGGGGUGUACUACAUUUUAUUCAGAUUCUUUUAUUUAAAUAUUGCUCUAUUCAUCUUUCAGGUACCACCACCAAUCUGGAUGACAUGCAGGUUCUUUGCCUCUCCUGCCUUCUGAUCCAGGUCUUGGAUCAGCUAUAGGAACCAGAGUCUGGAGCCAGUGGAUGAAGAAAUGGACAUCUCCCUGUGACUCCCUGUAGCUCUGCAGAGCCUCUGGCGUGUGGCUCUUCCUGAAGAACUGAAGACAUUUGGAAACAUGGUUGACCAAUUCUGAACUGCAACUUGAAAUUAAGAACUCCAGUUUUGGAAAUCAUCUCAUGUGAAGGUGCAGAGAUGAAAGUGGGAGACCAUGGAGUAUGGUGACCUGGAUGGACCGAGUUGGUGGAGUUUCAAGCAGUGAUGGACUGGCAUAACAAUUUACAAUAAAUCUAUACUACUAAAAAAAAAAUUAAAGGAACAUUUU